rnacentral:lncRNA from 1 species
GGUGUGAUGAGAUGAUUGAAGCUGUUAAUUUUCUCCUUGAUAAUAUUUACGUACGUUUCGGCAACAAAGUUUAGCGACAGGUUGUAGGUAUCCCCAUGGGCACUACUUGUGCCCCUUUAAUAGCAGACUUGUUUUUGUACUGUUACGAAUCACAGUUUAUGACUAAACUCAGUAAAGACCCGUCGAAAUUGCAUUUAAUUGAUAAAUUCAACAACACUUUACCGUUAUCUUGAUGAUAUUUUUUCGUUAAAUAAUCAAGAAUUUUCUCAAUAUACUGCUGAAAUUUACCCCAAGGAACUUACUUUAAAUAAAUCAAAUUUAUUCGGUAAUAACUGUCCUUUCCUGGAUUUAGAUACUUCGGUUUUAAACGGGAAACUACACUCUAAAAUUUACGACAAAAGAGACGAUUUUUCGUUCCCUAUUGUUAAUUUUCCAUUUUUGGAUGGUGAUGUUCCUUUGGCACCAUCUUACGGUGUUUAUAUUUCACAACUUGUUCGUUAUGCUCGUGUCUGUUGUGACGUUUUUGAUUUUAACGAACGCAACCUAUGUAUUACUGGUAAAUUAUUAAACCAGGGAUAUCGUUACCAUAAAUUACUUAAAACCUUUACUAAAUUUUUCCAUAGAUAUAAAGAUUUGGUUUUGAAGUUUGGUUGUACCUGUAGACAACUCAUUUCAAACGGGAUAGCACAUCCUCGUUUUUACGGAAAUGUUGUUAACCGUGCCCGGAAAUUUAAAAAUGAUCCAUGUAAACUUGUCGCUCCUUUAAAUAAACUUAUUCUAAAAGAUUCCCUAUUCAACACUGUAAUAAGAUCAUUGAAUAAUGUUUUUAUUGGUAUAAAUAUUGAUUUUAUUAUCAGUAGAUUAAAAGCCAACUAAAUAUUACUAGACUAUGUUAUAUACAUAUACAUAUUCAUGGAUCUACAAUCUGUCGAUACUUGUAUCUUGGCAUUGCACAAGGUCAUGUUUUUCUCCGGAUGUUUAUAACGUCUUUACACUAAAUCCUAUGGAUGUUGGAUGUGUACAGAUUGAUUGUUUAGUCUUAGAUGCAUGAUUUUUUUAUUAGUUGUUAGUGGCUUUGAACUAGCUGUCAGAUAACUGCGAGUACUCUCAGAUCUGUUCAUUGUGUCUUUUUGUGCCGGGAUGUAUAAGUACCGGCCACGUCCACUUGUAUUUUUUG